UACGAAGGGGGCUAGCGUUGCUCGGAAUGACUGGGCGUAAAGGGCGCGUAGGCGGAUGGCACAGUCAGAUGUGAAAUUCCCGGGCUUAACCUGGGGGCUGCAUUUGAUACGUGUGAUCUAGAGUGAGGAAGAGGGUCGUGGAAUUCCCAGUGUAGAGGUGAAAUUCGUAGAUAUUGGGAAGAACACCGGUGGCGAAGGCGGCGACCUGGUCCUUGACUGACGCUGAGGCGCGAAAGCGUGGGGAGCAGACAGG
rnacentral:rRNA from 1 species